rnacentral:rRNA from 1 species
AGAGUUUGAUCCUGGCUCAGGAUGAACGCUGGCGGCGUGCUUAACACAUGCAAGUCGAACGAAGCUGCUUAACUGAUCUUCUUCGGAAUUGACGUUUUGUAGACUGAGUGGCGGACGGGUGAGUAACGCGUGGGUAACCUGCCCUGUACAGGGGGAUAACAGUCAGAAAUGACUGCUAAUACCGCAUAAGACCACAGCACCGCAUGGUGCAGGGGUAAAAACUCCGGUGGUACAGGAUGGACCCGCGUCUGAUUAGCUGGUUGGUGAGGUAACGGCUCACCAAGGCGACGAUCAGUAGCCGGCUUGAGAGAGUGAACGGCCACAUUGGGACUGAGACACGGCCCAAACUCCUACGGGAGGCAGCAGUGGGGAAUAUUGCACAAUGGGGGAAACCCUGAUGCAGCGACGCCGCGUGAGUGAAGAAGUAUUUCGGUAUGUAAAGCUCUAUCAGCAGGGAAGAAAAUGACGGUACCUGACUAAGAAGCCCCGGCUAACUACGUGCCAGCAGCCGCGGUAAUACGUAGGGGGCAAGCGUUAUCCGGAUUUACUGGGUGUAAAGGGAGCGUAGACGGAGAGGCAAGUCUGAUGUGAAAACCCGGGGCUCAACCCCGGGACUGCAUUGGAAACUGUUGAUCUGGAGUGCCGGAGAGGUAAGCGGAAUUCCUAGUGUAGCGGUGAAAUGCGUAGAUAUUAGGAGGAACACCAGUGGCGAAGGCGGCUUACUGGACGAUGACUGACGUUGAGGCUCGAAAGCGUGGGGAGCAAACAGGAUUAGAUACCCUGGUAGUCCACGC